rnacentral:rRNA from 1 species
GACGAACGCUGGCGGCGUGCUUAGCACAUGCAAGUCGAACGGAAAGGCCCUGCUUUUGUGGGGUGCUCGAGUGGCGAACGGGUGAGUAACACGUGAGUAACCUGCCCUUGACUUUGGGAUAACUUCAGGAAACUGGGGCUAAUACCGGAUAGGAGCUCCUGCUGCAUGGCGGGGGUUGGAAAGUUUCGGCGGUUGGGGAUGGACUCGCGGCUUAUCAGCUUGUUGGUGGGGUAGUGGCUUACCAAGGCUUUGACGGGUAGCCGGCCUCAGAGGGUGACCGGCCACAUUGGGACUGAGAUACGGCCCAGACUCCUACGGGAGGCAGCAGUGGGGAAUAUUGCACAAUGGGCGGAAGCCUGAUGCAGCAACGCCGCGUGCGGGAUGACGGCCUUCGGGUUGUAAACCGCUUUCGCCUGUGACGAAGCGUGAGUGACGGUAAUGGGUAAAGAAGCACCGGCUAACUACGUG